CUGAUGCACCCGAGUUUUCCAUUGAUGAUGAAAUGCUCUGAUGAAUCCCUGGAGUUACAGCUGAACUCAGAAGAAGGAAUAGCAGAAAAAGGAAACACAGAACCACACUGCAAAGAGCAAUUGCAGAAACCCAGGCACACCACUACCAAGGUCAUGCUAAGCUAAAUGCACACUCACAUUUUUCUUAGAUGUGUCUGUCUGCUACAGUAAGAGCAGAAUGAACAAAAGACUGAGAUGAUCUUUACAUGGGAUGGCACGAAGAGCAGGGAGCCCUGCAUGGCAAAGCCCUGAGCAAGCACAGAGAAGGAAGAGUACAGGCAUUGUGCCAACAGCAGUGCAGGAUAUGAGGGAGAUUUGGGCCCUACACGGUGAAGAUUCAUGUAUCACUCAUCACUCCAUGUGCCUCCUGGAGCCCAGAGAGACCUGGCCUUUCAACUUGACUUGCUUUUGCGGCUCUGCAUUCCAAAACUGAUCACAAAGCCUUGUGGUAGAUUUCAGUCCUGCAGAAUUGAGCCUAUUACACCUGGGCUACCCAGAGACUGACUCCAGGUACAUUUAUGUCACCAUUGGCCAGCAGAGGCAAGUGCCUCACCCAACAACCACAUAGCUGCCAAAGGCCCUGUGAGCUGUGCAUGAGCUCUUAUCCCUCAUCUCAGCAGGCUUGUUAUUAUCUCAGGCUGAGGGCUGUGCUAAACGCAGAUGCACGGAUUCCUCUUCACCACUGAGGAGCAUCCAGCUGGCCCACCACCAGGGAGCUGGUGCUUGCCUGGAAAACACAAUGCAGAAUAUCAGCAAAACAUUACAUUGGUUUUGAAAACUCAUUCCAAGUGGGAUAAAAAAUGCCAGUUUAAAGAUAAAGCCAGGAAAGUCUGGUCUCCAGCCCGUAAGAUAUUUAACCUUUCUUCAUUCUUGAGCAUUAAGCAUCCCACACACUUUCAGUGAUAAUAAUAACAGCAUCAGCAAUAAUAAUAAUAGGAAAGCAAGAUCUGAAACAAAAGCAGAGCUGAAUGCAAAAUGCUUAGGAGGUGUUAAGUUUCAUGCUGAAAAUUAUGCACCUAAAAGGUACAAUUUAGGAAAUCAUACUUAACCAGCAGGAAUAAAAAAAGAUGAACUCUUCAUGAAAAGUAAGGAUAGAGCAAUUCUGAAAAGUCUUUUGUCACUGAAACUACAAAGGUGAAUGAUGAAUCAGCUUGUGGCAUGGCAUUAGAAUGAAACAUAUCUUCCCUGUAAAAAUGGUUUUUAUUCAAGUCAAAAAUACAAUCAUUGCGUUACAUUUCAUGGGGAUCUCAGUUCUAAGGAAAAAAAUAUAUAUAUAUAUUUAAAUUUUAAAAAUAUAUAUAUAUUUUUCUUUUUCCUUGAAAAAAAAAAACUUUUAACGGAAGUAACUUCUUCAAAUAAGCAAAAGGCUUGUGGACACUUCCACAAAAGAUAAUGCUCAUAUAAUUUAUGAACAUGAAUAUUAUAGCAAUAAAAAAAGGAAGUGGUUCAAAAGAUGGACAUUAGCACCGCCUCCCCUUUUCACACAACUCAAAGCAUGCUUUAUUGUAUUGAAACUAGUCAAGUAGCAAUAGAAAGAUACUGAUAACAAAUAUAAGCAAUUCUCUGACUAUAAUCCCACAUCGUGCAGAGGAAAUCAUCUUUCAUCAGUCAGGAAGUUUGCAAAGCUGUAUCCCUGUUGCUGCAGGAACUUCACAGACGAGAUUCUCAGCUGGCAUAAAAGUUUGUCACUGCCUCCAUCUCAAAGGAACUACCCCAGUUUACAUCCAGAGAAGCUCUGAGCCCUUAUUUAUUGUGACUAUUUGUCUCUUUUAGUACUUCCAUUACUGUCUGCAUGAAGCACCAGAUUAGCCAGGCAUCUCUAUCUGGCAGGAUAAAUACACUUGUAGCUGAUGUAUCUGUGAGGAAGGGCAGAUGUUUUUCUGGAGACCUGCUCCCAGAGACUGUAUUAGUUUAUGGAGAAGUCUGCUGGUCCUAAUUUAGGGGACAGUUAACUUUUGGGUCAGCCUUCAGGUGUUUAGUAGCAGGAGCAGCAAACAAGGAACCAGGUGAGGCUCCACUGAUAGAAGUGCUUGUCAUCAGCCAAAUGGGGGCUAAUUGCAAGCAAACUGGACAGCCCUCAAGCAACACCUGAAAUAUGCUAGAACCAACAUCAAAAGAAAAUCCUAUCAGAUCCCUAACUGAUACCAAGCAGACAAAAAGAAAAACAACAACAAAAAAAAUCACAUGGAAUUAAUUCAAAGUCCUGAUAGGAAAUUUGUAAUUAGCAGAGACAAAUAUAUAGUUGUGUGAGAGCCAAAGGUUAGAAGAGGCAGGUUACUGAUCCUUCCCCUGCUAAAG